rnacentral:sRNA from 1 species
UUUAUGUUUCUGCUUUUUAAUAAUGAUUCUUGUUUUGUUUUAUAUUUAUGUGAUUUGUGCAAUGGAUUCAAGCAAGAAAGAUGUGUCUACUGUUGAGUAAGAAUAUUUGGUACCAAGGGCAUUAAAAUGUUAACGAAUUCGCUGUGUGUCAUUGCCGUAAAAGUCAGAGGUCUCAGGAAUGGUUGCUGUUAGGUGGGCCGCAUAAUAAAACUUCUGUUGAGAUGGAAUAAAAAAUGAAAAAAAUGUACCUGCUGUAUGUGUUGUGUAAAAUAAAUGGAAAUACAAAAAUAUAAACCUUU